rnacentral:rRNA from 1 species
AUUGAACGCUGGCGGCAGGCCUAACACAUGCAAGUCGAACGAGUGGCGGACGGGUGAGUAAUGUCUGGGAAACUUCCCGAUGGAGGGGGCUAACUACUGGAAACGGUAGCUAAUACCGCAUCCCGUAGGAUGUGCCCAGAUGGGAUUAGCUAGUAUGUGGGGUAACGGCUCACCUAGGCGACGAUCCCUAGCUGGUCUGAUCGGAUGACCAGCCACACUGGAACUGAGAAACGGUCCAGCCUCCUACGGGAGGCAGCAGUGGGGAAUAGUGCACAAUGGGCGCAAGCCUGAUGCAGCCAUGCCGCGUGUAUGAAGAAGGCCUUCGGGUUGUAAAGUACUUUCAGCGAGGAGGCGUUACUCGAAGAAGAAGCACCGGCUAACUCCGUGCCAGCAGUCGCGGUAAUUC